AUUGAACGCUGGCGGCAGGCUUAACACAUGCAAGUCGAGCGGGGAAAGGUAGCUUGCUACCUGACCUAGCGGCGGACGGGUGAGUAAUGCUUAGGAAUCUGCCUAUUAGUGGGGGACAACAUCUCGAAAGGGAUGCUAAUACCGCAUACGUCCUACGGGAGAAAGCAGGGGACCUUCGGGCCUUGCGCUAAUAGAUGAGCCUAAGUCGGAUUAGCUAGUUGGUGGGGUAAAGGCCUACCAAGGCGACGAUCUGUAGCGGGUCUGAGAGGAUGAUCCGCCACACUGGGACUGGGACACGGCCCAGACUCCUACGGGAGGCAGCAGUGGGGAAUAUUGGACAAUGGGGGGAACCCUGAUCCAGCCAUGCCGCGUGUGUGAAGAAGGCCUUUUGGUUGUAAAGCACUUUAAGCGAGGAGGAGGCUACCGAGAUUAAUACUCUUGGAUAGUGGACGUUACUCGCAGAAUAAGCACCGGCUAACUCUGUG
rnacentral:rRNA from 1 species